rnacentral:rRNA from 1 species
GUGUCAGCAGCCGCGGUAAUACGAAGGGGGCUAGCGUUGUUCGGAAUCACUGGGCGUAAAGGGCGCGUAGGCGGCUUGGCAAGUCAGGUGUGAAAGGCCUGGGCUCAACCCAGGAACUGCACUUGAGACUGCCUCGCUUGAGUCCGGGAGAGGAUGGCGGAAUUCCCAGUGUAGAGGUGAAAUUCGUAGAUAUUGGGAAGAACGCCGGUGGCGAAGGCGGCCAUCUGGACCGGUACUGACGCUGAGGCGCGAAAGCGUGGGGAGCAAACAGGAUUAGAUACCCCUGUAGUCC